GGUGCAGUAACUUCUUCCGGAAAUAGAACAUUAAUUUUGGUCUUGAUUAGUGGUUAUGCUGUGCUUCCUGUCUGACUGUACUUCGCUGCAGGCAAGCUUGUGCAUAGGUAGGAUCGGCAAGGAAGUAACAGCUGAAAUGCUGUAAAAAUAUCUAGCAACUUGUCAAAAUUAUCAGAUAUGGCCUCAAGGAUUCAUAAGAUAAACUCGUACAAUUGAGAAAUAUCGAUUUAAAUUUUAAUUUUUUACUUGCGUCUGGAUCUUCUCUCUGCAUGCAGAGUUAAUUUAUUUUUCAAGGCCAGUAUAAUUGUUCAACAACUGUCGCCGAAAAUUCUCUCUGUAUAAAUUUGUAGAAACUGCUUAAUAAUGUGGAAGUUAGUCAGCUUUUGUGCAGUUCUAACAUUUACUCAAUGCUGUGGAUCACCGUUUGAUUCGUUAUUUCGGGUUUCCGGAUGCGUGGACUGCGCAAUGGGUCAAUGUCAAGAUGGGCCUCAAGUAUGCGACACUAAGAAGGACAGAUGCGUCUGCCCUAGCGAACUGACCGGAAACAGACCAACCAGAAUAUCCAGUUCGCAGUGGCCUCGCAUAUCAGGAUGCAACGAUUGCGCAAUGGGCCAGUGUCCUGAUGGGCCUCAGGUAUGCGACACGGCGAGGACAAAUGUGUCUGCCCUAGCGAGCUGAGCCGAAAUAAACCAACCAGACCAGACCGUCAGCCGUGGCCAAUUCGCAUAUCCGGAUGCAAUGAUUGUGCAAUGGGCAUGUGUCCGGAUGGAUCCGGACCGGCAGUGUGUGAUCAUCAAAAAGAUCGCUGUGUAUGUCGGAGCGAAUUACCUUCCAGUGACCCGCGUUCGAAACCUUCAAAUGUCGGCAACCUGGGUGGAAGUGCAUUUCGCGGAUGCUUCGGUUGUGGAUCGAGAUCAUGCGCCAAUGGAGCCAUGGUGUGUGAUACAAAACAGGAUCGAUGUGUCUGUCCAAAGGGAUCCCGCAAAAAUUGAUUCGCAGUUGUGAUUCGACCAAUCUUAUAGUAUAUAUCAUUCUGCAUGGGCAGUGUACAGUGGUACACUAAGGCAACUAAAACGACAUUGUUUUGCAAUCUCAAACGUUUUUGACCUUUGUAAUUUGUUUGCUUUAAUGCUAUAAACAAGCCGCGCGAUCUAUCAUCCAAUUUUGGUGGCUCAUUUCACGAAUAUAACAGCAGUUGUGCAGUUAAUUAUGUAUUUGUAGUGAGUAGUACCGUCAAUAUCCAAUGAACAGGUGUGACAAUUAAGAAGUAAUACUUUUCCCCGCACUCCUGCCUCUAAUUCAAAUUCGAAAAUUACUGUGGGAAAAACUUAUGUAAAUUUUACAUGCCGA